CCAUUUCUGGGCUCAGUUGUACAUCUCUGCCCUAGCUGGCUGGUCACUGGGAAGAGUACUCUAGGGCGGCCCCAACCAAGACGACCCAGUGCUGCUCCAUGUGAACUCUCAUCCUGCAGCAGACCCAUCUGGAAGGUUAUCAGAGUACAGGCAGAGGUCCAAAUGAAAGCUAGAAGAACCCGCAUGACAGCAAGCAGAAGGGAACAAGGCCUCCAGGGGCCAGGCUCAGAGUGACACACAUAUAUUCAUGCACCAUUCUGUCCUCCAAGCCUAAUUCACAGGAUUUUAAUGGGACACAUCUAGCACAGCAUUUCCCAAACUGGAUUCCUUAAAUCUCUAGUCUCCAGAGACGUUACUCAGUUUGAGCUGGGCACAUGGGCAUAUCCAACACCCGGAUGACAGAGAUGCACAUGAAAGGAACCAGGAUCCUUUUAUGACAUUGAAGGAUCAGCUGCCAGUCCUCGCUGGACUACUGAACUCAGGACUCCUGAGAACCAAAGUCGUUUGUCUUACAUUGGUCAUUGUAUCCUGGUGGUUUAGCAGAGGCUGGUACCUUAAUAAUGCAUCAUCCUUAUCCUAUAAAAAAUUUCUAUAGGAACUGGGUAUAUUUCUGGAAAUUAAUAUUUGUUCCAUUGAUUUAUCUCUUUAUUCAUGGACAUGUGACAUAUUUUUUAACUUGUGAUAGC
rnacentral:lncRNA from 1 species